GAAAUUCAUCAUUUAAAACACCCAAUAAAAUCAAAACAUCAUAGAAAUUUACAAUUAAUCAAAUUCCAAUUGCCCUAUCGGAGGUUAAGGUCUCCUUAUUCUACCCCUCACACAUUACACCAAUUAUCGAAUAUAUUAUUCCUCUUUACCUCAAUUUCUAGCAAACAAUUUGAAUAUGAACUGGUUGGAAUGUGUUCUUCCUUCAACUUCUA
rnacentral:lncRNA from 1 species